UGAAAUAUAUCCUUUAUAGAAGUAAAGUUCCUGCCCUUAAGAGCUCAUAGUCUAGAGUGAUGGGGAGGGACAGAAAAUUAACAAGCAUUUACAAUACAGGAUAAAUUUGAAAGCACAGAGUAGGAGCUUCCAGACCAUUCUAGAAUAAGGGAUAUGACAAAUAAAUAUAUGGAAUGACAAACAGUGAAUAAAUGUAGGGCAAGAAAGCAAAGCAGGGCAAAAGGCAUGGGGAGUUUCAUGUUGGAGAGGUUGGUUAUGUCACAUAAGAUGGUCAGAAAUAGUCUCUCAUAAGGAAAUGAGAAUGCAAUACUGCAAUUAGUUGAGGAAAAGGAAUCCAAGGCAGAAAGGACAGCAAGUGCAAAGUAUGAAGCCAGCCCAGGUGAGGGUGUCUGAGGGAAACCCUUGUAUUUUUAUGCUUUUUCUCUUGCAUUCACUUCCCCAGGGGAGGACCCCAGAAGCUCCUACCAAAUGUACCCACUGCAUCUGAAAGCAGCUUCUGCCUUCAGUAUCUGAGGUCUUCCUACAUGCCAGCUGAACUAAAAAUCAGUUACCUGCAGGUCUUCUUUGCCUAUUCUCAUUUGACCUAGGAGCCUGGGCAGCAAGUUUCCCGCCUCUUCCCUUCUGGUCUUCGUGAUCUUCAUCACUGAAAAUCCCUUAAGGUAAUGAUCUUCUAAGGACAGUGAUCCCAAGGCAAUGGGAGCCAAUGGUGGAGACACAUUAUCAAAUCUCCAUUUUAUAAAAAUAAAACAUAUCAAUUUGUCUGCAGUAUGAACCACACAUUGGAGAGAGCAAGAUAGCUCUCUUCUAACUGGAAAACCAGUUAGAAGGCUGUUGCAUCAGUCCAGUGAGCGAUGAUGGUGACCUAAAUCUAAGUAACAGCAGUAAGGAUAAAAGGUACUAGGAUGGUAGAACUGAUGGGGCUUGGCAACUGAUUAAAUGUGGGCCCACGUGGAAACGGGAGGGCUCCAGGGUGACUUCUGGCUGUUACUUUGGCAACCAGAGUUUGGGAGUGCCAUGCACUGAGAUAAAGAGAAGCAGAAGCAGGGUAGAGAAAGAUGAUGUUCUUAACCACAUCCCGGACUAUCUUAGGAUUUGUUAAAGAGCAAUCAACAAGGAUAUCACAGAAUCCAUAUGUAUGUAGUUGAACAGAUGAAACUUACAAGUGUAAAUAAUUAGGGGAUAUUUUGAAGCAGGACAUAAUUAGUUGCAAAAAUAUAUGCUUGGGACUACCAACCGGUGCAAAGGAUGCAGGAAGGCUUGAGGUCAUGGGGCAGUCAUAAGGAAAGCACAUGAGACCAUGAUUUGAGUUUUGAAGAUUUAAAUGAGUAGAGAGAAAUAAGUGAUGAGGAAAUGGUGACCAGGCUCGUUACCUAAACAAAGCCACAGCUGCAAGAGUGAGGGAGCUGUGUUUGAGAAGCAGUGACUCAAAGAAAUAUAUAAAAAUUCUCCAUAGCUAUAUCUGAAGUAUAGCUAUAGUCCAGGAUGCACUGAAAUUAAUGAAGAGAUCAUAAUACUGGUGAACAAAUAUUCUGGGAAUAUAAGUUGUACAAGGUGGGCACUGGUAGAUCUCCUGUGGGGUUUAGUUGAAGGGCAUGAGUUGUGAAGUUAGAUAUGAUUCUGUUCACAUCCUGGAAUCAUUGCUAAUGAACUUUAUGGUUUGGGCAAGUGAACUCAUCUUUGCAAGUCUUAAGUCUCCUGUGUGAAAAUGAGAACAGUAAUACUUUGCUAUACUCUAACGAAUAAAUGAGAUGGUGUGGAGUACACACUCAACAUAUAUUCAUUCCUUUCUGCCACUCAUUUUGAGUCCCGGCUCAUCAUGAGAUAUCUGAACAGGGUCCCCUGAUAUGCUGUAUGGAAUUGAUCUCAGCAUCAGUUGACACCAAAGAAGUUUAAGCUCAUGGUCACAUAAAGAAACCACUAUAAACUAAUUUGCUUAUAGGGCGAGUUGUAACCGUAAGCCUGAACGUACUGAAUAUGCUCAAUAAAUUGCAAAUAACUUACAGACAUCAAUGCCAUGUGAAUGUGGUAUCAACUGGCUGCUGGUCUGCCCUCAUGGGUUGAUCAACCUAUCUCCUUAGCCAGUAGGAGCAGGGCACAGCUGGGUCCAUGUUCCCAUUCAUUUCUGCUGCUGCCCUGGCCCUCUUUCCCUGCUUCCAUGUCCGGGCAUCAGUGCUGAAUUUAGCUCCCUCAGAUUUAGUCCUGAAAGUUACAAGCUUUGUGCAAUUGGAAGACUAAAUGCUAUUCUGUUGCUUUUGCUCAUAAACUGCAAUUUGAGUGAAAUAGCUUGUUUUUCAUUAAUAUAUAUAUUUCUUUUUCUCGUUUUCUAAAAAUUGCUUAAUAUAUUUAAUUAUUCCCUUUAUUUCCAUACCUACUCAUAUUCCUCAGACCACCUUCCCAAUGGGCAACUAUUCUAAAAUUCUUAAAGCACAGGCCGGGCACGGUGGCUCACAUCUGUACUCCCAGCACUUUGGGAGGUGGAGGCAGGUGAAUCACCCCAAGUUGGGAGUUCAAGACCAGCCUGGCCAACAUGGUGAAACCCUGUCUUUACUACAAACACAAAAAGUAGCCAGGCAUGGUGGCGCACGCCUGUAGUCCCAGCCAGUCGGGAGGCUCAGGCACAAGAAUUGCUUGAGCCCAGGAAGUAGAGGCUACAAUGAGCCAGGAUCAUGCCACUGCACUCUGGCCAGGGUGACAGAGUGAG
rnacentral:lncRNA from 10 species